rnacentral:lncRNA from 1 species
GUUUAGUAGUCUCCUCACACUGACGCGCAUGAAAUUUGGUGCCGUGACUCGGAUCAGGGGACUUCCCUUAGGAGAUCAAUCCCCUGUCCUCCUGCUCUUUGCUCCGUGAGAAAGAUCCACCUAUGACCUCAGGUCCUCAGACCGACCAGCCCAAGAAACAUCUCACCAAUUUCAAAUACAGACCCCACUGAAAACUGGACUGUUCAACUCACCUGGCAGCCACUUCCAGAGCUCCUGGAACUCUAGCCCAAGGCUCUCUGACUCUUUCCCAGAUCUUCUCGGCUUAGCAGCUGAAGACUGACACUGCCGGAUCGCCUCAGAAGCCUGCAGGACCAUCACAGACGCUCUAGGUAACUCUCACAGUAGAAGAGUUGCAGGGUGUUUAAGUUUGAAGAUACUGCCUGAUCCAUCGUUUCACAGAGAAAGAAGCUGAGGUUCAGAGGAGGUAAGUGACCUGCCUGACCAUACACAGCUCUAGUUUUAGAGCCCGGACUAGAGCCAUCUGGUGCCCUUUACAUCUAACUUCCUUAGAGAUGCAUUUACCAUGAAGCCACUAAAGCUUAAACUUCAGGGCCCCUCAAUUGCAGAGGCCUCUUCCAUGCCCCUUGCAGAACAUGAGCAAUGUGUUGCCAUGGCCAUAUAGGUUUUGUAAAAUCUGCAAAAGAAAGAUAUUUUAAACAGGAUCAGUUAAGAACACUCUCUUCCCAUUCUGACUUCCCCAUCACACUUCCCCCUCAUUUAAAGGAGCACUGGAGUGGCCAAGGAUAUUGAAUGUGUAUAACUUCAUAUUAUUUUUCCAAAAGAAGCCUCUACAAAACCUGGAUCCACCUCACCUGCAUUUAUAAUGUUAAUAAUACAUGUUAUUGAUUAUUCCAUGACCAUCCAUGAACCUGCUACUUAACGCAGGAAUUUAAACAUAACAAAAACUUACUUUAACUCUGAGUUCUGCCCCUCUCCCAUCCUCCCUCUCCCUCAGAGAUAGCCACUAUACUAAUUUUGUGUUUAUUGUCCCGUUGUCUUUUUGUUUUGUUUUGACACGUCAUUCGCUUUAAUAUAAAUACAUGUUUUGACUUGCACUGAACUUUGUGAAAGAAUAUUGUACUUGGUCUUCACUCAACAUAUUGUUGCAAGUAGUUGUGAUUCAAUCAUUUUCACUGCUGUUUAAUAUUCCAUUGUGUGAAUGUAUCAUAAUUAGUUUACUCAUUCUCCUGUCAAUGGGCAUUUGGGUUGUUUCAAAAAUUUUUGCUAUUUUGAAAGGUGCUGGUACAAAGAUUUUUGUAUAUAUUUUUGAAUAACCAUGUGCAAGAGUUUCCUUUGGGUAAAUACCUUGGAGUAGAAUUGCUGUUUCACAGAGUUUAAACAUGUUCACCUUUAUGAUAUAAUGUUAUGUUGUUUUCCAAAUCAUUUGGAACAAUAUACAAUGUAUGAGUGAUACAUUACAUAAGAGACCUAUUGUUUCAUCUCCUUUUCAAUACUUGAUAUUGUCAGGCUUCCUAUUUUCCCAAUUGUGUGGGUGUAGAAUGGUAUCUUUUUGCAGUCUGGCUUUCGAUUUCUUUAAUUACUAGUUAAGUUGUGCAUCUCUUCAUGUCAUUUGCAAUUCUUACAACAAUCUUGUAAGUUAGGGAUUAUCAUCACAAUGUGAUAGAUAUAGAAAAUAUGACACAGAGAGGUUAAGUAACAUAUCCAAGGUUACCCAGCUAGUAAGUGGUAGACCAAGGAUUCAUACUCAGUGUAAGCAAAGUUCUCACACCAAUUCUGUUAUAUUAACCACCUUAUUUCUUUGCUACAUAUGGUAUGGAAUAAAGAAUCUUGGAGAAGUUGCUGUUCCAGGUCUUGCAAGAUUGAAAACCUAAUCAUUGGUAAGGCUUUCUUUCCACAAGAUUGAAUUAGUAGCCAUUAAUCCACCGAGGCUAAUGUCUGUGCCCUUUGGGUAUUUGAAUUUAUCAAAACAAGUCUCUGCAGAAGUGAAAUGACCUAAUCGAUGUAGUUCUCUGGGUUUGUGAAGUGGGAACAUUAUUCUGUUUGCUUCAUGAUGAAUUAUUGAACUAAUACUUAAAUCAUUCCAUAAGUACAGAGUGAGGCUGAGCAACCAGGAGACACAGAGCUAAGAAAAAGUUGGCUUUUAAUAUCAUUCUCUGAACCAUUAAUCUGUCAGGAAAGAGGAAAAGAUGUCAUAUUUUAUUACAAAGAUGCCUAGAAUAUGCAAUUAAUCUAAUUACAACAGUUAUUAUUAUUUUUUAAAAAAUCAGUGCUUCCUGUGCCCUGGGCUCCAUAAUCCCUCCAGCCCAUGAAGUGACUUAACUGGGGAGAGUGGUGUUUCUAUCCUGGGCUGUUCCCAAGAAGCCACUGUCCAAUCAAGGUGUCUGUGAGACACCUUGAAAGAAAGGGAGCUGUGUGGGACAACCAAUUUUUAUUUGUCUAUCUCUCUGCUCUGCCUCAGGGACAUAGGAACAGAGUAAACAAAUGCUAUAAAUUCCUGCCCUAGGCACUGAUUUUUGAAGGAAUUGAAAAGACAAACAACAACUGUAACCCUGUAGUUUUGGAUGCAAAACUGUCCUAGCUUUAAGGUGUCUUGCAUAUCCUCGGUCCAGAUGCUUUCAAUAACUAGCCAAGAGAUAAAGAAUGAGUUCCUUUGUGGGAAGUUUGAAAAUAAAUAUGUCUGCAUCUUCACUUUGUAAUCUCUGGAAAAGGAUGCUCAUGGGUAUUUAAAGAAGCUGGCUCUGGGCAGCUGAAAAGGCAGGGAGAAAAGCCCACUUCAUUUUUUUAAAAAUAGCUUUAAUGAUAUAUAAUUCAUAUGCUAUAAAAUUUACCUUUUAGAAAUAGACCUGUGACUUUUAGUAUAUUCAUAGAAUUGUACAACCAUCAUCACUAUCUAAUUUUAAAACAUCCUAAUCCCCUCAAAAAGAAAGCUUGUACUGGUUAGCAGUCACUUGUAUAUUCUACGUGGAAGUCCCUUAUCAGAUAAAUGAUUUGCAAAUAUUUUCCCCAUUCUGUGGGUUGCCUUUUCACUUUCUUGAUAUUAUCUUUGAAGCGCAAAAGUUUUUAAUUUUGAUAAGGUUCAAUUUGUCUCUUUUUUUCUGUUGUCACUUAUGCUUUUGGUGUCAUAGCUAAUAAACCGUCAUCUAAUCAUAGGUCAUGAUUUACUUCUACGUUUUCUUAUAAGAGUUUUAUAGUUUUAUCUCUUAUUUUUAGGUCUGUAAUCCAUUUUGAGUUAUUUUUUAUAUAUGAUGUGAGUUAGGACUCCAAAUUUAGUCUUUUGCAUGGAGAUAUCCAGUUGACCCAGCACCAUUUGUUGAAAAGACUAUUAUUUCUCCAUUUAAUUUUCUUAGUAUUAUUGUUGAAAUGAAUUGACCACAAAUAUAAUGGUUAAUUUCUGGACUCUCAGUUCUGUUCCACUGAUCUAUAUAUCUAUUCAUAUGUGAGUAUUACACUAUUUUGAUUACUGUAGCUUUGUAGUAAGUUUUGAAAUCAAGAAAUAUUACUUUUCCAUCUUUGUUCUUUUUCAGAUUUUUUUUCUAUUCUGAGUCCCUUGUACUUCUGAAUGAAUUUUAGAAUCACCUUGUUGAUUUCUUUAAAUCAACUUGAAGGAAAAUUGGCAAUUGCCUUCAAACAGGCAAUUUGGAUUUUGAUAGGGAUUGCAUUAAAUCUGUAAGAUCAAUUUGGGGAGUAUCAUCAUCUUAACAAUAUUAAGCCUUUCGAUCCAUGAACAUGGUCUGUCUUUUAUUUACAUUCUUUCAAUGAUGUUUUGUAGUUUUUGGCAUACAAGUCUUGGGUUUCCUUUGUUAAAUUUGUUCCCAAGUAUUUUAUUCUUUUUGAUGCUAUUAUAAAUGGAGUGGUAUUCUUAAUUUCAUUUUUGGAUUGUUUAUAGCUAGUGUAUAGAAAUAAAAUUGAUUGCUGCAUAUUGAUCUUGUAUCCUGAUCAAGUAUCCUGAUUACUGAACUCAUGUAUUAGUUCUAAUAAUUUUUUGUGGAUCCCUUAGGAUUUUCUAUAUACAAGAUUAUAUCAUCUGCUAAUAGAGAUAGCUUUACAUCUUCCUUUUCAAACUGGAUGCCUUUAUUUCUUUUCCUUGCCUAACUGCUCUGGCUAGAACCUCCACUACAAGGUUGACUAGAAGUAGCAAGAGCCAGAUAUUCUUGUAUUGUUUCUCAUCUUAAGCAGAAACUUUCACCAUUAAAUAUGAUUUCACUGUCAGUUUUUUAUAAGUGCCGUUCAUUAGCUUGAGGAAGUUCUCUUCUAUUCCUAGUUUGUUAAGUGUGUUUAUUAUUUUUAAAAAGUGUUAGAUUUUGUCAAAUGCUUUUUCUUUGUUUGUUUUGUUUUGUUUUGAGACAAGUUUUCAUGCUGUCGCCCCGGCUGGAGUGCAGUGGUACAAUCUUGGCUCAUUUCAACCUCUGCUUCCCAGGUUCAAGUAAUUCUCCUGUCUCAGCCUCCCAAGUAACUGGGAUUACAGACACGUGCCACCACACCCGGCUAAUUUUUGUAUUUUUAGUAGAGAUGGAGUUUCACCAUUUUGGCCAGGCUUGUCUCAAACUCAUGAAUCAAGUGAUCUGCCCGCCUUGGCCUCCCAAAGUGCUGGGAUUACAGGCAUGAGCCACCAUGCCUUCUAUUACAAAGAAAACCAAAUGAGCCAAAAUGCUGCUUGCUAAAUCCAACUGAGUAAUGAUUCCCCAUGAGAGGAUCAGUCAUUUUAACUGGGUGUGAAGAAGACUUCCCCAGUCAGAUGCACCACGAAGACGCUAGAAGGUGUGCAGAGGACAAACACCUUUCCUCCUUCCCAGCUGCCCUUGCGUUGAACCCAUCCCUAGUUUCAUUCGCCACCAUCAAAACUCUGGACUACGCAAAGAACUGGCCAUCCUAUGCAGUACACCUCCUUUCCAUUCCCUUUUAAUGGAGCAGUCUGGCUCCCCCAGGCCAGGGACAAAAGGACCAGGCCAGUGGCUGCUGGACAUCCUACCUGAAGGGAGCAUCACCCUCAUUCUCAGAAACAACCUAACACAGCAGGCAAACCAUCUAUAUAGUGCACUGUGCUCACUGGCAUGGGGACACAGCACAGGAGUCCUUCCAAUCCUGCCCCAGGUGGGGAUGCCCCUCUGGUCUACCUCAUCCCCAAGGAACUGGUGGGACCACUUUUCCCUUGAAGGCCUAGUCUGUCCACUCUGAAACCCACCACCUGAGGGUCUGGUCUCUGCUCACCAUUUCAACAACAGCCUCAUCUAGCCCCUGAUGCAGGCUAACUUGAAAUGCCCUCCUACUGAGGGACUGGCAGUGUCUCAAGUUCCCAGCCUACCCUGUCCCAGGGCAUUUAUAGUAGAGGAGGGGCAAUGCAGGGAGGAUCCUAUCUUGAAUCUCCUCCCUCCUCUCCAGUACCUUGAUUGCCCCUUAGGUAUUCCAAUGUGUCUCUUCCGCGCAUCCCACCCCAACCCCACCGUGUUCCUAAUAGGAGAGCUGCUCUUGGAUUCUAAAAUAUCAUUGUGAGGGGCUGGGUCUUCUUUGUCUGUGCUUUCCCAGAACUAGCAUGAAGACUGUCAAAGAGCAGAUGUUCAAUUCAUGUUUGGUGAAUGACAUAAUUCAGAUGUUUGUCCCUUCUAAAUGUCAUGUUGAGAUAUAAUUCCCAGUGUUGGAGGUAAGGCCUGGUGGGAGGUGUUUGGACCAUCAAGGAGGGUCCCUCAUGGCAUGGUGCUGCCCUGGCCAUAGUGAGCGACUUCCCCUAUCUCUGGUCAUUUGAAAGCAUGUGGCACCUCCCACCCCCGCUCUGCUUGGCUGUCUUUCCUCCCACUGUUGCCACGUGACAUGCCUGCACCACCUUCCCCUCCUGGCAUGAGGAAAAGCUCCCCAAGACCUCCCCAGAAGCAGUUGCUGGUGCCACGCUCAUAGCCUGGUGAACUGUGAGCAAGUCAACCUCUUUUCUUUAGCAAUUACCCAGUCUCAGGUAUGCCUUUAGAGCAACACAAGAACUGCCUAGCACAAGGAACAAAAGAGCCAGUGAGCAAGUGUUCUCCUUUAUGAUGAUUUAAUUUCUCCAACAUUCUUGAAUACACAUAGCAACUGUGAGUAUAUAGCUUUUCAUUUUAUCACAACAAAAGACUUAAAGAAAUAAGAUUUUUAAACGUCAAAGGUUGCCAAUCAAUCGACACUUUUUUCCCACCAUCUUGUGAUCCCAACUGAUGCAGUGUUCAGUUGUUUCACAGUUUAAAGCCAAUCGCUAUUCCAAUGCUAUUUCUUCUUGCACUAGAUCAUAAUCUAGUAAGUAAAAAUUUCCAAUUUGUUUUACAAAAUACAAGAACAUCACUCUUCAAUGUGAUAAACAGCAAUAAUUGUGUGAGGCACCUAAUUCAUGAACUUAGAUUCUGAAUCAAAGUCAAUCUCUUUCAAAGGAACACGCGGUAGACACAGAAGAGAAAGAGGAAUCUAUAAGUGGCUUGCAAAUAACCAGAACAAAAGAAAGACACGUCUUGGGCUCCCCACCUCACCCCCAAAUACUGAGAUGGUGGACAGGCUUUUCAAUCUCUUAGUGAGGAUUGCCUGAGACUUCACUAGGGCUGAAAGGACCUGCUAGCCCUGGCCCUGGCGCUAUCCCUGGCUACCGCUCUGGCUCUGGCUUGCUCUUCCUCCUCUCUCAGAGCCUCCUCAUACCGGGACUUGUAGGUACUGGCAACGGUAUCAUUGAGCUUGGCCACAAACUCCAGGACUUUCAUUUUGCUGGUUUCAGCACGGGCCCUGGGACCCCACAGGAACUCGUAGCGUGGAGGAUCGCUGCUGGGCACCUGCUGGUACUCCAGGUACCCCUCUCGCACCAAAUCUUUGGUGACAAGCUCCUGGGGCUCCCCAUAGAUGAAGUGCUUCCUACCCUUAUACAUCCCCAAUGCAUUCAGGCAUUCCCACAUCUCUUCCUCAGUGGCACGGUUGCCAUGCAUGAAGAUGGUGCUCAGGAGAACCAUCAGGAGCCCGCUCAGGGGAAAGCCCCCGCCAUCGCUCAAGCUUCCUUGAUUGGGAAAGUCCAGCUUGCCAACAAGCACAUAGGACUGACGGCUGGGGUCCAUUUCCUUCAGGUAGAGGCCAAAGACCACCUCUACGUUCUCAGUGCUUCUCCGGAGGAUCUCAGGGAAGUGCUGCUUGUACUUUCUGUUGAUAACCUUCAGCAUGGCUUCCCUCGUAAUGGGCUCUUUCCUUAUAUACUUGUUGAGGAGGAACUGCACCAAUUCGCCCGUCUUCGUGUUCAGAAGAUCUCUUCCUGUGCUCUCAGAGGAGGACGGGCCAUGGAAGGAGUUGGGACUUUCCCCCUUUUGGCCCUUGGCACCUUCAUCAGAACUUGUGAGUGAAACAGCUGAAGCAGGAGAGCUGGGGUAGCUGGCUCUCUGGGACUCCUGAGGAAUGCCUGCAUUGGGGAAGCUCUGGGGAGGACUCUGGCAUGCAGGAGAGGAGGAGGAUGGCAGCUUUUCCUUCUCUGCUGCGGUGGCUUGAGCACCCCCGAGACAUUGGUCUUCACCUCGAGCCUGGCGGCGUUUCUCACGGGCACGGCGCUUACUCGCCUGACCGCGAGGCAUGAUGACUGUGCUUAGGGGCAGCAGGCAAGAGGGUGCAGGAGGUGGGCACCUGGAGCAGGAGGAACAGAGUGUGUGAGCCCCUCAGUGGGGAGAUAUCACCUUAAGGAGGCCUCCAUGCAGGUGUCCUUGAGGACCCUGCUCCAUAGCCCCACCAGGCUCCUGUUCUCCAGGGCAGCCUGUCCCCUGGGGACCCUGGGGAGGAAGUUACAGUGCUCCUUGCCCUGCAGCCUGCCAGCCCUGCCUGAGACCAAGAUCCUUACUUCUCUGUUUCCUCUGAGGGGAAACUGAGGCCAUCUGGGCUUGACAUCCCUGUCUGGGGCCUCAAACCUCUGACAUAGGGAGGGAUCCUGAGGUCCUCUUACUAAUUUGGGGUCGGUGGCUCCACGCUCCUCAGGGUCCUCACUAUCUGAGGCCCUUCCCUUCAGGUCAAGGCCCUCACCUUCCUGAGACCUCACCCCCACCCCAAGGGGAAAGAAAGCAUGAGUCCCCUCCAGCCACCCCUGUUCAUGGCCUUUCUGGACUGGUAGCAGGGUCUGGACUCUCAGAGCCUCUGAUGUUCUGGGUUCGGUGGCCCUGUUAGUCCUCACUUAGGCAGAAUGUGGGACAUGUCGCUCAGCCCACCAGAUUCCUCCAGCCUCAGCCCCAGGCCCUGUCCACUCUGAGCCCCCAUAGGCUAGAAGUGAGGGGCCCUCUAUCCGACUCCCUCUCCUGAGGUUUCCCAGGCCUGAGAGGGAAGCCAGCCUUUGUGGUGCCCCCGGAUCCAGGUGAGUGCUCUCCUCAGCUCUCACUCAGAGUCUUAACCCUGAUUCCCAUCAUUACCUGGAAAACACUCCUGUCUUAACCUGAGACUUAUUACCUCAUACCAGCCCCUCCAUUCUGAAAUACCCCUAGGAAGUAGUGACGGUCACCUCAGCUGGCCACAAAUGCUCAUCAUGUCCCAAGACUGGGAGCAGUGGAGAUUUUCUGUGUUGGCCCCACAGUUACAAAUGGGUGGUCCCCUUGGUCCUCAGGGUCUUCACCUUGACUCCUGGCAAGAGCUUAACAACCUCCAGCAGCUGUCUUGAGGCUGUCCCUUUUACCCAGGCUCUUCACCUCCCUGAGAUGCCCUGGGAGGAAAUGCCACUCACCAUGCCAACGUGCCUGGGUCUCCCAGAGGUGACAGUAGGGGUGGUGCUCUAUGUGGCCUACUUCUCCCUGGGAAGGGCUCCCUCUUCUCAUUCAGUGUUCUCCCCUUGACUCCCACCAGGGACUAAGUCCUCCUUCCCACCCCACCAUGAAUGGGGCCUCGCCCAUUGGUGCAAAAGAGCCACUUCUCUGAAACGCCACCCUGACCCCUUCAGGACACGAGGGGUCACCAAAUGCUAAUGGCUCUGCCCAUGGUUUCCCAGGGCGCACAGCAGAGCUGAGACUCUAUGUGGUCUCCUGUGUUUUGGAAUGGCCAUUUUCCUCCCUCCUCACGCAGGGUUUUUUUUACCUUCACUCCCCACAGAGCCUGGGACUCCUUUCUCCGCUGACCUGGGGCAGCCAGUCUUGCAACCAAAGCCCUCUGCUGAAACGCUCCGUGCAGCCCUGUCUACUGAGGGCUCAGGAUCUUCACCUUGCUACUUGACCAGUCCUGGGACUCCAUCCUCAGCUCACUACAGGCAACACCCUUCAAAGCAAGAUCCUUGCUUCAAUGGGACCUCAGAUUUGGACAUUCAGGGUAAGCCACAUCCUCUCAAGGCUGUUUAGGGCCUUCAAGGCGUGACAGCAGGGGUGGGACUAUAGGGGACCCCACUGCUCUGCCUCAGGGUUCUGAACCUGGCUCAGGGUGGGACCUCCAACUCUUUGGGACGCGACUCAGGUCGCUCCACUGACCUGAGUCAGCCAGGCCCAGGCCCAAGCUCUCACGUCCCAAAGUUGCUAGAGGGAAAAGUCACGGCAUGCCCCGUCUGGCUAUGCCUGCACGGGGUCUCCCAGAGCUGACAACAGGGCAGCAGAAACCUGGCUCUCUGGCUCUCCCUGGCUCUCUUGCUUUUUCCUUUUUUUUUUUUUUCUUUGUGACAGACACGGGGUCUCACUCUGUCGCCACGCUCAUGGCGUGACCAUGGCUCACUGCAGCUUCGACCUGCUGGGCUCAAGCGAUCCUCCUGCCUCAGCCUCCCGAGUCGCUGGGGCCACAGGCGCCGGCCACCAUGUCCCGCUAGUUUUUGUUCUUUUCUUUCUUGGAGAGAGAGGGUCUCGCUUUGUUACUCAGACUGGUCUGGAACUGCUGGGCUCGGGUAAUCCUCCCGCCUCAGCCUCCCAAAGCACUGGGAUCACAGGUGUGAGCUACCAUGCCCGCCUCGUGGGCCUCCCAUGUUUGGGAGAGGUCUCCUCAUCAGCAUCAGGGACCUCAUUUCGAUUAGGGCCUAGGAGUCCAUCCCUCUGCAGAAUCGAAGCCUCACCCUCACACCAAACCCUCCCCUCCCUGGUGCCCUCUCAGAAGUCAGUGCCACAGCCUGACUGGAGCCUCCCGCGGCUGAGGGAGGUGGGUACCCGGGGGCGGGGGUUGGGGGACACAGGGUGGUCGCCUUGGCUGCGUGUGGUGGGCCUUUCAGUCCACGAUCAGGGUCCUUACCUUGAUACCCAACCAGUCUUGGGGUUCUGGUAGCCUGAGGUGGCGUCCCUCAGACGAAGAUCCUCACUUCCGGCAGCUUCCCAGGCGGGCGGAUGUCGGAGUGAGCCACAUCCAAUCAAGUCCCUGCUGGGUCUCCCAGGGCUGAAAGCGGGGCGGGGCUCUGCUCGGGCCCCCUUUUUGCAUAGAAGUCCUCUCCAGUGUACUCAGUGUCCUCUCCGGGACUCCAAUGAGUGUCCAGUUCUCCUCCCUCAGCUGAACUGUGCUUUUGCCUUUAGACAGAGUCACUACCCUCGUUAGAGCAUCUAAGCAGAAAAAAAGGGGUCCUCAGCUGAGGUCUUUGCUAUGGCUGACAAGAUUAAGCAUUUUUUUAUUUUUGUUUUUAUUUUUUGCUGAUAACCAUUCCCUUAUGUCACUCUCGGUCCUCACCUUGAUUCGAGUCAGUUUCUGGGGCUCCACUAUGCACAGCUGGGGCUUCCCCCACCAGACCAAGAUUCUCCCUUCCCUGAGACCCUCCAGGCCGAAAUGACAGUCACCUCAACCUGACAGCUCUUCCUGAGCUUCCCAAGUCACAGGAGAGGCUUUUGGUUUUGGACCAUGAGAAUGGCUUACAUAUUCAAAAGGUUGGAUUUGGGAAGCAAUGCUAAGCAGUGGAAUGGACAUCGACAUAGAGAGAUCAGCUCCACACUUAUACUCUGCCACUCAACUUCCCCAUGUGACUUGAGGAUCACUCUAACUCCAAAACAUAGCAAGCUCGCGGAACAUCAGGGUUCAUGCAAAGUAUUCCAAGGAGCCCCUUGAAGCAACAGAAUGGUCUGUCUCCUUUCAUACCACUAACGUGAACACAAAUAUAGAAUAGCGGUUGAUUUCCAAAGAGUUGUUGUUGCAAGCGUAGCAGAAGUGAGGCUACUGUGACCAAAUGGGCUACAGAAAGGCUGCAAAGACAGAACUAGAGACGAUGAAGAGACUCAGAAUUUUAGCGAUAGACAAGACCUUAGCACUGUCUUCUCAGUCUAGAGAUGAAAACAAGAGUCUAGACAAGUGAAAUUGAUAGCCAGAGUGAUAUAGCUAGAGGCAGAGUUGGACUGUCAAGCUAGAAAUCUUGGUUCUUUAAGCUAUACUAUCUGUCUUGCUUUUCAAACUGUUCAAUGUAAUUAUGGACUACCAGCAAAGCAGGUUUGUACAGUACAGACGAGCACGUAGCAAGCAGAAUUGAAGUUUCAUUCUGUCUUGGUCCCAACUCCUAAAGCUCCAUAGACAGUGGGCACUUCUUCAUAUCAAGAGACAAGAAUCUUUUCAUAUGUGCCAUGUGAAAAUGAGAGCCAACUGUUUGUAUCUCAUCUGGAUAGAGAAAACCUAAAUUAAAAUUGUCUUAGAAUUUUAAUGUGUAAGGGCACAUUUGUAAAAUUUGAAUUUAUUUGAAAGUGGGUUAAUAUGUUUGCAACCUGUCAAAAUUGCCCUCUUUGAGUGAAAAAAAACUCGAUUCAGGGUUUCUAAAGUAAGGGAAUCAAAUCUUUUUAGAGCCAACUAAACUCACUUAGAAAAAGAAAAAUAUUUCAGCCAAGUCUUUUUCUGCACAUGGCUCUUUCAUAAAUACUCUUCUUAAGUAGAAACAAGUCUGUAGCUGUUUUUCAAUCAGUUCUUAAAGUUAAGACCCCUGUGACUUUCUUAUACAUAUUCAGACAAAAAAUACGUGUUACUGAAAUUUUAUUCACUUCCUCCCACAAACGUUAGGAGAAGCAUACAUUAAAUAUAAACAUGUUCCCAUUUCUACUCAGAUACAAUCCCUUCUUUCUUAUAGUGAAACUACUGAUUCAGUGUAGCAGUCAAAGACAAAUCUAAGUAAAUACAUUUGACUCAAAACCUAUGUAUCAAGAAUAAA